rnacentral:tRNA from 1 species
GCGGCCGUAGUCUAGCCUGGUCUAAGACCUUGGCCCUCCAAGCCAAAGACCCGGGUUCAAAUCCCGGCGGCCGCACCA